UAUAAGUACAAACCUUCAUAAGGUGAAACCGCGAACGGCUCAUUAUAACAGCUAUAAUUUACUAGACCUUGAGCAAUUACACGGAUACCUGUGGUAAUUCUAGAGCUAAUACGUGCACCGAAGUUGUUCCUCACGGAGCAAUGCAUUUAUUUGAGCAAAACCAGACGACUUCGACCGUUUCUGUUGAUUCAGAAUAACUAAGCUGAUCGCAUGGGCUUGUCCCGGCGACGUGUCUUUCAAGUGUCUGCCUUAUCAACUUUCGAUGGUAGUGUACGUGACUACCAUGGUGUUGACGGGUAACGGAGGAUAAGGGUUCGACUCCGGAGAAGGGGCCUGAGAAAUGACCACUACGUCUAAGGAUGGCAGCAGGCGCGCAAAUUACCCACUCUCAGUUCGAGGAGGUAGUGACGAAAAAUAACAAGACCGUUCUCUUUGAGGCCGGCCAUUGGAAUGGGUACAACUUAAA
rnacentral:rRNA from 1 species